UUAAAGUCACAACGGUGAAAGAUGAGCAUGCGUCCCAUUAGCUAGUUGGUAAGGUAACGGCUUACCAAGGCAACGAUGGGUAGGGGUCCUGAGAGGGAGAUCCCCCACACUGGUACUGAGACACGGACCAGACUCCUACGGGAGGCAGCAGUGAGGAAUAUUGGUCAAUGGACGCAAGUCUGAACCAGCCAUGCCGCGUGCAGGAUGACGGUCCUAUGGAUUGUAAACUGCUUUUGUACGAGAAGAAACAACAUUACGUGUAAUGUCUUGACGGUAUCGUAAGAAUAAGGAUCGGCUAACUCCGUGCCAGCAGCCGCGGUAAUACGGAGGAUCCAAGCGUUAUCCGGAAUCAUUGGGUUUAAAGGGUCCGUAGGCGGUUUAGUAAGUCAGUGGUGAAAGCCCAUCGCUCAACGGUGGAACGGCCAUUGAUACUGCUGAACUUGAAUUAUUAGGAAGUAACUAGAAUAUGUAGUGUAGCGGUGAAAUGCUUAGAGAUUACAUGGAAUACCAAUUGCGAAGGCAGGUUACUACUAAUGGAUUGACGC
rnacentral:rRNA from 1 species